CCAAUAGCGUAUAUUAAAGUUGUUGCAGUUAAAAUGCUCGUAGUUGAAUUUCGGGGUUAGUAGGUUGGUCAUGCCUCUGGUAUGUACUGGUCUCACUGAUUCCUCCUUCCUGAUGAGCCGUAAUGCCAUUAAUUUGGUGUUGCGGGGAAUUUGGACUGUUACUUUGAAAAAAUUAGAGUGUUUAAAGCAAGCUAACGCUUGAAUACAUUAGCAUGGAAUAAUGAAAUAGGACGUUCGAACCUAUUUUGUUGGUUUCUAGGAUUGACGUAAUGAUUAAUAGGGAUAGUUGGGGGCAUUAGUAUUCAAUUGUCAGAGGUGAAAUUCUUGGAUUUAUUGAAGACUAACUACUGCGAAAGCAUUUGCCAAGGAUGUUUUCAUUAAUCAAGAACGAAAGUUAGGGGAUCAAAGACGAUCAGAUACCGUCGUAGUCUUAACCAUAAACUAUGCCGACUAGGGAUCGGAUGAUGUUAAUUUUUUAAUGACUCAUUCGGCGCCUUAC
rnacentral:rRNA from 1 species